rnacentral:lncRNA from 13 species
GGGUACUAUAAAAUAGUGAGUCAGCCUCAAAGCAGGGGCAGACCACUGCAGAUUUAGCUGUAGUGGGUGCAAGUGCUGGGCACUUAAGCCUUACUCCUAUUUAGGAGCCUUCAAUAAUUUUUCUCUGAAUUUUGGGUUAGCUAAAAGUAAGCCCAGCACUGCAAGUUUUACACCGGAGGACCAGUGCUGUCUAAGCCCAAAGAUCUCUAAUCCCUGCGUUCCCGGAAAUACCUCUUGAGCCACUAGGAUCCCAAAUUUUGAUAUUUUCCUGAUUUUUAUAAUUUUUCAAUUUUUCUGUUUCAAUAAAUUAUUUUAAUUUUUCUAAGAGUUGUCUCGUUCCUCACAAUAUUAAUGACUUCAUAGAAGUCAUUUGUAUAACCACUCCUAUCCCAAGGAAUGUGAUGAAUAUUCAUGCAUUUCACCCAUAAUACUGGACUGUAUGGAGUGCUGGGUGUGUGUGUUAGGAGGAGAGAUCCUCCAUGCACCCAGUGCUGAAUAAAGAAAAAACCUGCUUCUUUGCCUCUGAAGUGUCUCCUGGCCUCAUUUGGGGCGAUCCACCUGGCACCCCGAGAUGGGAUCCUCUCUGCCCAGCUGCCGGAUCCAGGGGAGAUCCACUCCAGGAGAAAUGGGAAGGACCUUAUCAGACACUGCUGACCACUCAUACAGCAAUUAAAGCACAAGGAAAACCGACCUGGAUCCAUUGUACCAGGACCAAACCUGCACCAAAGCCAGAGUGGGAGGCAAGAAGAACAGGACCUCUGUGCCUUCAACUAUGAAAAAUCAACACAACAUGAUCUGGACCAUAUUAGUGACACUGGUAACUUGGGCAGGUGCAUGGGACCAAAAUACAUUCAAUUGCUCAAAGGGGGUGUUGAGAAUUUUAAUCUGAUUGCUGGAUAUGUUCUCAGCUGCCUGAGAAUUUUGCUAGAGGCUUUCCUUUGGUUGGGGCAACAUUCCCUAAUACAAAAGAAAUCCAUGCUGCACUUAGUACUGACAGGCUUUCACAUUAUGUCAACAUAUCCCUAGAUCAACUUCAGUGGAAGUUGGAGUUUGAAGAGCCAAUACUUGGGUCCUCACCAAUAUCCUGCGUGCAGUGGUGCUGGGAAGAAUCUGUACCUAAAAACUCAGGAGGAAUAAGACAGACUCCAAAUGCGGGAACUUAACAUUUAUAGGCAGCUACCCCAACUGCUCAGAAUUCUGGACAUAUGGGGGGGCCAACAUGUGGAAUAAGAAUCAAACAAGACAAGGACCAAAGCCCAAGGAUUGGCCAGUGCCCCCAGGGUGGGGUUGGUACUGGAUAUGUGGUCACAGCGCCUAUAAAGUUUUACCCUUAGGAUGGCAAGGCUGCUGUGCCAUAGGACCAGUAUUUCCCCACAUUAAAGUUGUCUCUCAACUACAAGGCUUUUAUACGGAGGACCAAAAGGACAUCAAACCCCUUAAUAGAUAGGCCCACUGGAUUUCACAGCUUUGCCAGAUGGUUUAUACCGGGACUCGGAGUAAGCGAACUAGAGAAAGCAAUAGUGAACCUUUCUGCUACUGUAGAAACCAUAACGAAUGCCAGUGCAGAUGCCAUAAGAGCGCAGCAAAUCGAGAUUAAGAGCAUCUCACAGUUAGCCAUACACAAUAGACUUGCAUUCGAUUUGCUGUAUGCCAAAGAAAGAGGAGUAUGUACAGUUAUAAACAGAACCUGCUGCAGUUACGUUGAUUUAAAUAAACGAAUAGAAACAUUUGCAGACAACAGCAGUUCUGAAAAAAACGUAAACAUUGCAUCAGGUCGCCUUAGAUUAUACUUCUUGGGGGUUUAAAGAGGUGUGGGACAAACUUACAGCAUUGUUACCCAACUUAUCUUGGCUUAAACAAUUGUUUGUAAGUUAUUUGUAUUAUUGCAUUGUUAUUUACUGAUUGUAUUAGUAAUUAUUGUUGUAUGAUGUUAUGUACUUGGAAUUGCCAUGCUUAGGCUCAGUGGCAAAAGCACAAACCCAGAAGCAAGGCAGAAAAGGGUACUUACUUUCAAGACAUGCGAGAUUUGUAAAGGACUAUAAAUGACCAAAGAAAAAGGAGGGAUUGAUAAGACUGAUCAAAAGUUAACUCAUGAAAGCACAGUUAACUAUUGGGAGACAACAAAUGUUGAUCACUGUCCUGGGUUGCAGUGUAUUCUAUCACCAUCCUCAUGAGGUGUUGAAAUCAGGUGGGGCAGUGUUUCCUUGCCUCCUCCCCCCAGACUAUCUUGCUGUUAAUGGCCCAUCAUUGUCCUGCCCCAUGACUCAGAGAUAACUCCCUCUGGACUAUCUUCUGUUAAUGAGCCUAAUCAACACUUGGCCUCAU